AAACAGAGAGAGAUCGUUGCGAAUGUGAUAUACCCUCCUCCCGUCUAUGUCAGGAAGGGGAUGUACUGAACACAGGUGCUUGCCACAUCCGCAGAUGCUUUGAGGAGAUCCCCUAAAACAGGUCCUCACAGAGACAGCCAUAUUUCACGCCAUAUAAAUGAAAGCCCUCCCCUAAUCGGCCGAGAGAUUGCUGUGCAUGAACCCAAGAGGGCUCAUGCUCUUUGGGAUGGUCUGGUGCCAACAUUUGGCUUUAGCAGCCCCAGCAGAUCAGUGACCAAUACUGUCUGACUUUUAGGCUAUGAGAAUUAAUUUGAGGCUGUCAGAGCUUUAUGUCCCUCUGGAUUGAGAUGUAAUUGCUCAGUAAGUGGAAUUCACUGGGUCUUCUCCAGUACAGUCGCCCUGUCUCACUGGUGCUCUGAAAUUUGUGUUGGCUUCGCAUCCCCAUUUUCCUUCUCUAAUCCCAAAAUACACCCAGCCCCUUCCACAGAUUACACAGUCAAGCAGAAUUCCCAUGAACUAAUUCACAUCUCCCCGAUCCUGAACUUGUACAAUAAAAUAAUAAUAAUAAUAAUAAUAAUAAUAAUAAUAAUAAUGGGCUUUCCCCCAUGACCCUAUUCACUUUAGCCUCCUUGGCUGUCAUUCAGUGUUCCAGCUCGAAAAGACCUCUUUUGCUGACACCCAGCAUUUCAGCUUUCUCUCCCUAUGCUACGUAUUUUCCAAGCAGCCUUUCUAUGUCUCUACCUGCAUUGUUGAUAAAAAGGUUCAAGUGCAAAGUGUCUCCUUCAGGAAGAUGGCUAAUUUCUAGCCCAACCCAAGCUCAGAUACCCCAAGGACAUAGGCAGGCUGAAAGGCAUCCAGCAGGCUGAGGGGGUGUCUGCCAGGUCCCUCUUCGGGGCAACGGCUUCCCACUGCCAGGCACAUCUGUGCACACCUGCACGGGUGAACGGGCUGGCCGAGCCCACGGCACGGGCUGCUCUGGCCACACUGUGGGGUGUUCGCGUCUUACAUGGAGUCACGGGCAGAGGCAGCUCGGGUGUUUCUGUCUGGCUGGUCCUUUGAAUGCCUGACAUGAAAAUCACAGCCUUGGACACAGCCCCACUGCAGGGAGCUGUGGUCACACAGUCGUCUCAGCCUCCUCCCGGCCCCCCUGAAACCCACUUCCUAAAAUGGGCUUAGGGGGCCAGCACCCAUGACCGUGACCCAGGCAUGGGUCAAGAGCACCUGGGAGAAUAUCUACCCCCAGUCAGCAAGAUGCAGCAUCAGCUUGUCUGUCUGCCAGCUUGGUUUCUUAGAAAUCUGUGUCAUUAUCUUGUCGCUGGGAUUGUCAGACCUCAUUUUGAGAGCUUUUAAAACCUGACCCCUGAUGGAGCCUCUAGAAUGCUUCCCGCCUUCUGUUUCAGCAGCCUUUUAAUGCAGUCUCUACCUCCCAGGCCACGGGAACUGGGCUGGUUAGGAGGCUUGUCCUGGGUGGGGAACGGGAUACAGGGCUCAUGCAUUCCAGGGAAGGGAUGGGGGUGCAGGUGUUGAUGUUCAGGGUUGUGGUGAGGAGGGGGGGAAUGGAGAAGGGGCAGAGAAAAGGAAGGGACAAGGGAGAGGACAGGGGGAGAUGGUGUAGCCAGGGUUCUGUUUGGUUCUCCCUCCCUCCCUGCCCUCACCUCCCCUGAGCAGAACAGUGCGGAGUGAGAACUGGGGAGGUGCUGGGAGGGCACCUGGAAGGGAGUGGUCCUGUGUUCUAAUUAGCAGAGAGAGAACAUGCCUCUUCUUUCUUGUCCCAUGGACCAAAAGCCAGGAUGUCCUGGAGAAAAGCAGCAGAGAAGGAAGGAGGAAGGGACCACAAUGUGAUGGGUGCAUUUGCUUUCAUUUGUUCGUUCAACAACAUGCAUUAGGUACCCGCUCCGUGCGGGGCACCAGGCAGGCACUCAUGAGAGCCUCAGCACAUCUGAGGAGCCCAGGAGCUCGCAGGUGGGAUGCGGGGACUGGAUGGAAGGGCGGCAGCACCGGGGCCCUGUGCUUUCCCGCCCCCUCCGCCAUCCAUCUAUUCAGGCGCCAAGGGCCCAGCACAGGCAGGGAAGAGCAGCCUGGGAAGAGGCUGAGGAGAGGCUGGGGAGGUUUGUGUUUGCAGAGGGGUGAGCGGAGAGAUGUAGAGAGAAACUCUUGCAGCAAUAGAAGAGAGGCAGGUCUGAUCGGAGCAAACACUGACGUGUGAUGUUGGGCAGCGUUCAGGUGGCAGGUGGCCCCUGCGAUCCAUGCAACGUAGCUUCACAUUCUCUUGCCUUGUUUAUCCUGGGCUUAAUUUAUAGUCAGUUAAGCAUUUAAUAUGUUCCUCAAGGCAAUUCCUCUGUUCUCUGAGUCUCCAUAGCCUGCCUGUCAUUCUCUAGGGCAUGCGCACGACAUUUACGUACAGCCAGCCAACCUGCAGCGCCAUUGACACUGACGCCAUCGACAGUACGACACUUGCCUCCAUCCAUGAAAUCGACUGACAUCCAGUUGGAGGUAUUACCAAUUUUGUUCCAAUGAAUCCACUGCUGAUAGGAUAAAGAUAAAAAUAUCAACUGAGAAAUAUCGCUGGUUGGGAGAAUAAUCAGUCUUCCCCAGAAUUCUGUGGAAGGCCAUUUUGAAUGCUGUGGGGCUCAGAGAGCAGUUACUUGUCACAAAGAGUGAAGCGGGACUGUGCAGGGUGUGGGGCUUCUGGAGAGUCACAUAAUGAAUUUAAUGCAUAACCCAUACAGGUGUCAUUCCUUUUGGAGUCUGAAUUUAAUAAGGCCCUCAAUAACAAAACUAUGCUCAACAUAAUUUAAUCUUCUGUUGAUGAUUUAGAGGCCCAGUUAGGAUCUUAACGGGGCUGUAAACAUCAUCACAGAACAUGACAGUCACCACUAUUUACAGACGUGUGAAAAUGCUGCUUAUAUGAGAGCUCUGGUAACAGAAUUUACAGACAAGAGAUGGUAGCAAGACCCCUACUUAGUAAGUCUCCUUAAACCAGAUCACAAAUAAGAACUACCUCCUGAAUUCAUCCAUUCUGGUAACAGAAUUUACAGACAAGAGAUGGUAGCAAGACCCCUAUUUAGUAAGUCUCCUUAAACCAGGUCACAAAUAAGAACUACCUCUUGAAUUCAUCCAUUCCCAGGCUCCCAGUUACGGUCCAGUUGUUAAGCACCUUGACAUUCUGGUGAAAUAAAUAAAUGUGAGCAUUCCUUUAGAAUUCAGUUAUAAAAUAUGGAUAGACACAUCACUGAAAUACAAAAAGAUUGCAGACCUAGUUGUUAAGUCUCACAGGUAUUUAAGUGUCUAACAUUUUCAAUCACCAGUUUUAAGAUGAGCCUCACAAGAUUCCAUUAGGAACCAGUUAUUUCAUUUUUAAUGAGGCAUAUUUCUGAAUACUAGUGCAAAUAUUGUUUCUGUGUGCUGGAUAUGUAUUUUAUUUGCUAAAGUUGUCAUUAGGGAUGAAAAGCAAACAGUUUAAGAUGGAUCCUUCAAAUGAUCAUUUAUUCAUUACUGUUAUCCUGGUCCCAAAACACUUCUCAGCUGAAACUUUUUACAUCUGGCAUCAAUCCAAAGAUUAAAGGCAGACCAAUGGGUUGGAGAGCAUAGCGAUUCAAAACAAGAAGAUCUAAUUCACGUCCUAACUGGCUGUGUGAACUCAGUCACAGAGCCACCCAUUGUGACCCUGAGUGAGUUGCUUAACCCAUCUGAACUUGUAAAGGAGUUACUUCUCUUUAAAGGAGAUACUUCAUUCUGCUCAGUGAGUCGAUGCAGUGCAAGUCACACAGACAUAUGUACUUGGGUCCAUGGUAGGUGCUCAGCAAACCUUAUAAGUAACUUUAAUCCUGGCCAACUCUGCUGACCACAGUGUGAAGUUCUGUAAGCUUUUGACACACAACCAGGGCUGUGUUCAUUUGAGUUACCAGGAAAGGAGGACAAGGCAAAAUCUGAAAAAUAAAUGUUCUCCUUCCUUGCUCCGAUUUCUUUCCUGAUAAUUUCAGUUUGGAAGGCUAAAGCAAACCUGUUAAUGAAGGCAAUAUUUGAAAGAGGAGGCCAGGAAGAACACUACUGUUGCUUCUAGCAAGAGUGGCUGAAAGAUCACCCACCCCCUGGGACACCUACCUUUCUCUGGAGGUUCCUUCAAGAUUCACAUCAUCUCUAGCACGAUCUGAAAAGCCACCCUGAAUUUUUUUACUCUGAUAACUUCAUGCUCAAAGACAAAUAAGAACUGAAACCUGUGGCUUCCAUCUGAGAGUGUGCAUGUGUGUUCAUUUAAAAAAAACCUGGUGACUGGAACACAGAAAAAGAAGAACCCGCCCUGGAAUAGUCCUUGUGGAGAAGGUCCAGACACUGCUGGUGGCUUUCAUAAUCCAUUGCUGUGACACUAAGCAAAACCUUGCAGGGACAUUCUUACUUGGGAUGGCCCUGCAGUGUCCCCAGUUAUUAGCCUGACAGCUUUGUGUAGAUCCUGAGCCUAAGUACUCAGUGUUCCUUCUCUUUCACUUCCUCCCCUCCUCUUCUGCCCCAGCUCUAGUGAAAUUAAGCAAAAAUUUCAGAUUUUGCACUCUACUGUCUCUGACUCAAAUUAAGGAUCACACUGUUGUUUAUUCAUUCAUUCAUCAAUUACUGAUUCUCAGUGCAUGUGAAAUACUGCGACGGGGCAGAGAAUGAUGCAUUCAUUCAUUCAUUCAUGCAAUUAACAUUUACUAAGCCUACUAGGCUGGGCACUGUGACACAAAGAUGUGAAAGGAAGUAGGCUUGGUUUCAGGAAAGCAUAUAAUCUAUUGGGAAGACAUAAGAAAAUGCAUUUCAAUACGAAAUGAUAGAUGUGUAUGACCUUGUUGCUUAAAGUGUGAUCAUUAGACCACUGACAUUACCUAGGGGCAUGUAAAACUGCAGGAUACCAAGACCCUCCUCAGUUUUAUUCCAUCUAAAGUCUUCAUUUUAAGAAAUCCCAGGAGACCUGCAUGCUUAUUUAAAGUUCAAGAGGCACUUGUCUAAGACGUGGUCCCUGCCAUUGCCUUUCAGAGGCUUACAAACUAGCUAAUCAUGCAAACAUACAAAUGCCAGAGGAAUGCAGAGUUCUCUGCAUUCACGUGUUCGACCUCCACUGGCUUAUGUUCUAGUUAUUUAAAUACGGAGGAGCAAAGAGGAGAGGCUGGACAUUAGAACCAUUUACUGAACCGAAGCAGGUACUAGAAGAGGGAUUGUUCUGUCAGGCCAAACACACCACCUUCAGAUGGGCAAACGCAGGAGAUUAAUGGGGCCCCCAGGAGUGAUGGGUCAGCAAAGCCUUGGGGACCACGGGGGUGCUGCACCCAGACCUGCAGGCAGCAGGCAGGCAUUUGCAAGGACCAGGUGAGCUGAGAAGAGGGAGAAGACCAGAGCGUGGCUGGAAGUCUAGAGGCUGGCUCCUGAGGAAGGUGGGCAGGAAAGAAGACAGCGAAGGCCCAUGGCUUUCCACUCAUCAGAUCUGGCUCUGGUUUCCAUCUCUGUGAUCUCAGAGCAUCUUUUCACCUCGCUGAGAUUCAUUUCAACCCCUGUAAAAGCUGGCUAACAAAAGGCACCCCGCGAAGUGGCUAAAAGAUUAAGUAAUGGGUGGAAAACUCUUGGCUUAUGGGACUGCUUAACAGUAACUUCAGCUAACAUUUGUCAAGUAAUCAGUAAAUGCCAAGAACUGUCUUGAGGACUUUAUACAAUUCUGAACAACAGCCCAAUCUAGUUGUUGGUAUUAUUGUUCCCAUUUUACAGCUGACUCCAAACCCAAGAGUCAGACACUGGGACCAAGGCAGAGGCCCGGCCACAGGGACAGGGCAGGAGCCAGUUGAGUGCUGCCGCAGGAAGGGUGGCAGUGCUGUGCCCUAUAUGGAACGGGAACUGCUUCUACACCCCCCAGGCCUCAAUCAGGGUCACCUAGGAGAGGCGGGCCUGGGCGGACACACGGAGCCCAGGCGCCCCCUACUGGGUGGAGGCGACAUUAAAUCUGUUCCAAACUGCUCACUUUACCUCCCUGUGUCUCCUCCCCUCCGGCUCCCUGUGCCCCAAGCGGCUGUCAGUCACCCAACAGCUGGCUGGACACAGGCAGGAGCCGUCACAUGUCUGCCUUUAGUGGCUUCCUUGAAACCACUGGACUUCCUUUCUCCUUUAGGCUGAUUAUAUAAGAUGUGUACUGGCUGAUAUCAUUCUAGUUACUUAUCUGUAAAUUCAGGAAACUUAUGAGAAAGUUUGCUGCUGUCUGUCGUCAACCAGAAUGAUGUCAGGUUUGACACAGAUUGCUGAAAGCACAGGUUUUAUAGUUAGACGAUGCUUCAUAGAAGCCCUGUUUCUACUCCUCACCAGCAUCCCAUUUAGGUAAAUUACUUAAUCUCUCUGUGUCCUAAUCUUCUCAUCUCUAAGAAAGGGAAAUGACGACAGUGCCAAUUUAGUAAGCUUUCGUGACCUCAGAGCCGUGAAAUACCUUUCACCAUUCCUUGUACUCAAGUAAACAUUAGUCGCCCCCUAUUACUAUCGUCCUACCGAGUUUUUAUUACCCAAGCAUCCUCUUUUAUGCUAGGGGACCACUGGAAAAUAGAAAUGAGAGCUCCUUUGUGCCAAACAUUUGCCACUGCACCUUACUCAGAGGCUGCGUUGUGGGGGAAAAGAUUGUGUGUGUGUGUUUAAUAGUGCAUUGUGAUUUAUACCUGGCAUCCUAAGCAGGUUUUGUUUGUAACAUGGAUGGAGAUACGGAGCUUGAAAGAAAAGACUGACAAUAAUGAUCUCAUCACAAAUCCUCCAAAAACUUCAUCACAAAUUAAAAAAAAUUUUUAAAGCAGCUUCUCAGGAGCUUUAAAGCCCUGGGUAGUCAUCAUUAAAUAUUCCUACCACUGAGAUUUCCUUAGGUUUACUUAGCAGGUAUGUACUUAGAAUACUUUCAAAUAUCAGAAAACACACUGGAGUGAAGCCACUGAAUGAUUCUCUUGCUGUCUGAGCAGGUGUAUCAUAUGAAUGUCAGGGUCAGGAGCUCUAUGCUUUUUGGGGUUUGUUGGGAAAGGACCUCAUGAAAGCCGCAACACAGAUCUCUGAGGCCCCAAAAGAAAUCCCGCUUAUGCUUUGGGCUUAUCCCAUACCAAAAACAUGUGUUGAAUGAGAAAAGCUAGUGAAUUAAUAGGGCAAGGAUUCUUAACUUGGAUGCAAGUAUCUCCUAAAUGAGUUGAGCAGUCAGCAACAUGGUUAUCUACAUUUCUGGGGAGAUGAUCUACAUACAUUCUCAAAAGCUCUAUGGUCUAAAAUGAUUAAGAAUCAUUGUUUUGUCUACCUCCCUCCCCAGCCAUCUUGGUGCCAUUGGAUGGGGGCUGUUCCACACCUAGGGCAGGAAGAUGGUGGCUGAAAAGAAGAAUGAAAAAGUUGCAGGACUCCAUCAAUUCUAGGUCCCAACUUGUUACGAAAAGUGGAAAGUAUGUGCUGGAGACGAGGUGAAGCAAAACUGGCCAUCCUCGCCAUCAACUGUCUGGCCUUGAGGAGAUCUGAAAUAAAGUGCUAUGCCAUGUGGGUCAAAACUGGUGCCCAGCAGUGUGGUGGUAAUACUGCUGAAUUGGGUGUAGCGAGCAGAAAAUACUACAGAGAAUGUACACUGGCUAUCACUGGGCUGGGGGAUUCUGUGAUCUUUGCAGUGUGCCCGAACUGGUAAAAAAUAAAUGGGCAAAGUUUUUUCUUCCUUAAAAAUGGCCAGAACUUAUUUAAGAAAGGAAAUGAGGAACAGGGGGAAUGAGGGAAUGAAUCACUGCUUUGGAGCAGUAUCUUGAGAGAAGAAGUUGCAUGUAAUCCCCAAAGACAGAGACAACUGGGUAGAGUUGGCAGAUCUGGAGCAGCAAAUUCAGAUAUCUAAAUUUUGCCUAUGUGAUCCCAGACAGCAAAACCUCUCACUGCUCCCCACAACCAGUCUUCUCUCUCUUUCUAGAAUGCUCUCUCCAUUUCAACUCAGGAUCCCUGCCAGUCAUCCUUCAGGACGGCACACCCAGCUGUAAAAUCUUACUUCCCCUGCCAUAGUACGUCAUCUGAGAGGGAGAGAGAUUGUUUCUUCCAGCACCCAAAUUAUUCCCAGACGCUCCUUGCUAUUUUCCAGGGUUCCAAGGCUCUCACAUGGUUGCUUAGACAAUGAGAACCGUGUAUUUGGUGAUUCCUGUUUGUGCCCUGGUCUGUGUCACCUGGUCAUUGUUUUAUCUGGACUCUGAACUUCCAGGGGACCACUGCUAUUUAAUUUUCUUUUGUGUAGGAGUGUUUAAAGCAAGAGUUUAAUGAGCAGACUUCAAAAUCGUUUUCGAUUUCGCAGCACGGUCUGCUAAGACUGGGGGAACUGGCUCUGUCAAAAGCCUAAUCUAUAGCUUCAGUGAAUUCAGGACAUUUUUAUUUGCACACUCUGUUCUCAAAUACAGUGGUUAUCUUCUUUUUAAGUCUUUGCAGAUCUGAUUUCUAACUCAGUUCCUCCCAUAGUCCCCUGAUGAUGGGCUGGAAUUUUCAAUUCACUAAGAAAGGGAAAAAUUCUUGCUAGAGAAUGGUCUUUCAGGCAUUCAAAGCCCUCACUAUCUUCGUGUGGGAAAGCAAGGUUUUCCCCAGCAGCUUUGAAGAAGGUAUUUUAAAUAUCUCAUUUUGUUUGCUGGCCCCCAUUGGCUCCAUCCCACCCACAGGGUGCCACAGUGGCGGUGUCUUUCCCAGCAGCAAAGCCUUUGUAUCUUAAUAGCUGGCUAGCUUACUCAUCUCUGAAUCAAACUGGACUGCCCUGCCGGCUUCCCAGCCCUCCGAUCUGCAGCACAAAUACAAGACACCCUUCUCCCCCUCCUCCGGCCCCCCACCACACACAUGCGCACAGACACAGGGUGACCUCUGCAGGCACGAGGCUGUGUAGAAUCAGUCUAAAGCUCCCUCCUCCAACCUUGAAGUCCAUAGCCUAGCCUGCUCCAGAUGGACUAAGUCCCUGCUGGCAUCAGAGGCGGCUAAGAAGUGCUGUAGACAGGCUGGCCACAGGAGUUAAGCGUUCUGGGCACCCUCCAUCAAUUUAGGUUUGGCCCAUGCUGCACGAGGGGAUCCUGUUAGCUACCCUCAUUGCACUUAUUUUCCCAGAACCUGUCUGCUCUCAUCACAGCCUAUGUGGCCCUGGGGUUGGAUUUCCCGUGGCUUUGUUUCCCUCUCAGCCAUGAUUUAUUUAUUCUUUGAAAACUAAGGGAGGCCGAAGAUGGGAAACUGAACUUUUGCACCAUUCUCCACAGAGUCUCCUCACCAGAGAAGGCUGGAAGAGCACAAAAUUGAGCAUCCUCUCCUCUCCCCAUGAAUCUAAAGUCAGGGUGUGAACCUCUCCUCUGUAAACAGCCCCUGAAGGGUGUGCCUCCAAUAUGAGCUCAUCUGACCCACUUAAGGGGCCAGAAAGAGAAACUCACCCGCUAGUUACGCGCUCCCCACCCAAGCCUCACCCCGCGCCUGCCCUGAUGCCCUCCUGGGUGGCCUCAAGAACCUGCUGCAAAAUGUCAGUGCGAAGGGAAGAGAAAGCCAGGGAGGGGAAGGCUAUACACCUCCAGACGUGCGUCCGAGGGCCCCAGGAUCGAUCCCCAUCGCUGGCUGAGUCUCUCUGAACAAAUCUCAUUCACCCAGCGUGCACUGAUCACUACUCAAUCCAUCCUCCGUGGGGAGGAAGGAAGAAUCUGCCUCUGAAACAAGAACCCCAGAGCAAGAACACUGACACAGUCCCUGCUGUGCACCAGGAGCCAUCCGAAGCUCUGAUGAUACCCAAAACACCACCACCAUCACCACCACCAAAGCCCAACAAAACCCUAAUCAAGAUGAAUGCUGUAACAGAUGUAUGAGCUAUAGUAGAUACAUGGUCAAGGGAGUGGCUGAUUAUACUUGGGAAGCCCAGAGAAGGUGACAAAUGGGCUGGAGUUUGAACACAGGGUAGGAGCUCCCAGGUGAAGGAGGACCAUCAAUCAAGAGAAGAUUCUAGAUCAACCUAUGCAAGGAGAGAAAUUAUGGUCCAUUUGGAGAAGAGUGGAAAUGUUUAUAUGCCUAAAGCAGACAAUGCCUAUUUAGGGUGAGAGGGGUGCAUUUUAUAUGAAAUGAGACCAGAAAGGGCAGUUGGAGCCAAAUUGUGAUCAGGGCUUCCGAAUUGUCUAAGAAUUUGGAUUCUUAAGGCAAUGGGUGCCUUUGAAUGUUUUGAAGGAAGGAAGUGAUAUUUAUGCCUGAGUUUAGAUAGAUACCUUGGAUUAUGGCCACAUAGAAGAUGUUUUGAAAAUUGAAGUUAGAAAGAUUAGGUACGAGAUUGAUGUCAUAAUCCAGGUAAGAUAGCAUUGAAGUCUGAACUAAUUCACACAGCAGCUGUGGGAAUGUAGACGACAGGAUGAAUUUGGGACAUUUUUGAACUACAGUUCAGCAGGAUUUCAUGAGCAAAUAAGUGGAAAAGGGAGAAGUGAGAUAAAGGUAGAAAAAUGUAGAGAGACGUUGAGUCUCUCAUUUUGCUACCUGAACAGACAGUGCGGAUUUUGAGCUACUUACACAACAUCAAGUGGAAAAGUCUAGGAGGUAGCUAGUUACCUGAGUAGGGGGUUUUGGAGAGAAGACAGGGUUAGUAAUUGAAAGUCAUUAGCUCAAAGGAGUAUCUAGCUAGUGAUAGGGCUGAAUCCAAGCCUUUAGUUUACUUCCAUAAAUGUAACUGAGCACCUGCUAUGCCCCAAGGCCAGUGGUUUGCUGGAGAUUCAGAAGUGAAUGGAGUGUAAAAAUGAGUCAAGGAAAACCUCAUUCAAGAUGGAGCUAGAAAGACCUGAAGGAAAUUCUCAUGAAUGUACCACUCCUCACCACUUACUUUACAUAUGCUAGCAGGGUUUUCCUUGCCCAGCAACAACCCAGCCAGUGAGAAGCCACCACAACCCUGAGCUCUUGCACUCUUCCAAAGAACUUUCAUUCAAAACCACCCCUCCCGACAUCCUCCUUUCCUCUAUAAAAGCAAGCCCCUCUCCUUUGUUCUCCAGACUUGCCCACCCCUUUGCCAUAGUUUGCACAUCCUGAAUUGCAAUUCUUCUGUGAUUCCAAAUAGACAUUUUUUCUGCUUGAUAACCUUUGUUGUUUAAGGUUUAAGGUUGACAAAAGGAUGGUUCUAUAGUCAAAUAUCAGGGAGGAAUGCAGGGUCAGCACAGCUAGUUUCCCGCACCAUGUCCCAACUCAUUGCUGAAGUCCAGUUAUAUUUUGCUUACAGCGUGUUUGUGAUCUACUGAUGGAGUACACCCUCAACAACAACAGGUACAAAAGUUGUUUUCCCAAUUAGAAAAGUCAGUGAGGACAGGUUCACUGCAGAGCUCCAUCCAAGCCCACACAGACUGAGCUUGAUACCAUUGAUUGCCCUCAAGCCUGCACUGUCUGCAGAUACUUGGCUUUGCUGAAGGGUAACUUGUAACAUCAGUUUUAUGUCAGAGUUACAUGCAUUUGGUUAAGAUGAACAUAGCUGUCCCAUCAAAAUCUGUUUCCUUUACAGUAAAAUAUCAACAUUUAUUGUCUAAAUAGAAUACUAAAUGAGAUUUCUCUUUGCUUCUCCAUAGUCCUCUGAUUCACACUUUGUUUGCAUUUCCAAAUGAGUGUGUAUUGUUUUGUAUAGAAAAAGGAUGUCAAGCAUAAUAAAAAAAUUUUGAAGAUG